CAAGUCGAACGGGAAUCUUCGGAUUCUAGUGGCGGACGGGUGAGUAACGCGUAAGAAUCUAACUUCAGGACGGGGACAACAGUUGGAAACGACUGCUAAUACCCGAUAUGCCGCGAGGUGAAACCUAAUUGGCCUGAAGAAGAGCUUGCGUCUGAUUAGCUAGUUGGUGGGGUAAGAGCCUACCAAGGCGACGAUCAGUAGCUGGUCUGAGAGGAUGAGCAGCCACACUGGGACUGAGACACGGCCCAGACUCCUACGGGAGGCAGCAGUGGGGAAUUUUCCGCAAUGGGCGAAAGCCUGACGGAGCAACGCCGCGUGAGGGAGGAAGGUCUUUGGAUUGUAAACCUCUUUUCUCAAGGAAGAAGUUCUGACGGUACUUGAGGAAUCAGCCUCGGCUAACUCCGUGCCAGCAGCCGCGGUAAUACGGGGGAGGCAAGCGUUAUCCGGAAUUAUUGGGCGUAAAGCGUCCGCAGGUGGUCAGCCAAGUCUGCUGUCAAAUCAGGUUGCUUAACGACCUAAAGGCGGUGGAAACUGGCAGACUAGAGAGCAGUAGGGGUAGCAGGAAUUCCCAGUGUAGCGGUGAAAUGCGUAGAGAUUGGGAAGAACAUCGGUGGCGAAAGCGUGCUACUGGGCUGUAUCUGACACUCAGGGACGAAGGCUAGGGGAGCGAAAGGGAUUAGAUACCCCUGUAGUCCUAGCCGUAAACGAUGGAUACUAGGCGUGGCUUGUAUCGACCCGAGCCGUGCCGAAGCUAACGCGUUAAGUAUCCCGCCUGGGGAGUACGCACGCAAGUGUGAAACUCAAAGGAAUUGACGG
rnacentral:rRNA from 1 species